ACGAACGCUGGCGGCGUGCCUAACACAUGCAAGUCGAGCGGAGGCGGAGGAAGAUCCAGCGAUGGGUUGGAGACUGCUUUAGCGGCGAACGGGUGAGUAACACGUGGGCAAUCUGCCCUCUGGAGCGGGAUAACAGACCGAAAGGCCUGCUAAUACCGCAUGAGGCCGGACCUUCGCAUGGAGGACCGGUCAAAUGGGAAACCCGCCGGAGGAGGAGCCCGCGUCCCAUUAGCUAGUUGGCGGUGUAACGGACCACCAAGGCGAUGAUGGGUAGCCGGCCUGAGAGGGUGAACGGCCACAUUGGGACUGAGACACGGCCCAGACUCCUACGGGGGGCAGCAGUGAGGGAUUUUCGGCAAUGGGCGAAAGCCUGACCGAGCGACGCCGCGUGAGCGAAGAAGGCCUUCGGGUCGUAAAGCUCUGUCUAGGGGGAAGAGAACGGACGGUACCCCUGGAGGAAGCCACGGCUAACUACGU
rnacentral:rRNA from 1 species